GCCUUGCCGGGCGUCGACCGGCGGAAUGGGUGGAGUAACGCGUAUCCAACCUGCCCCUGUCCCGGGAAUAGCCCUUGGAAACGAGGAUUAACGCCCGAUUUGCGGAGCAGUCGCAUGGCAGUUCCGUGAAAUGCCUAAGGACGGGGAUGGGGAUGCGUCUGAUGAUAGCCAGCUGGCGGGGUAACGGCCCACCAGGUUGUCGUAUCGAUCAGUAGGGGUUCUGAGAGGAAGGUCCCCCCACACUGGAACUGAGACACGGUCCAGACUCCUACGGGAGGCAGCAGUGAGGGAAUAUUUGGUCAAUGGCCGGAGAGGGCUGAAACCAGCCACAAGUAGCGUAGCGUGAGGGAUGAAGGCCCUAUGGGUUGUUAAACUUUCUUCUUUUAUGCGGGGAUAAAAGARUGCCCACGCGUGGCAUGUUGCAGGUACCGCAUGAAUAAGGACCGGCUAAUUCCGUGCCAGCAGCCGCGGUAAUACGGAAGGUCCGGGCGUUAUCCGGAUUUAUUGGGUUUAAAGGGAGCGCAGGCGGAGCGCCAAGUCAGCCGUCAAAUGGCUCAGCUCAACUGAGUCCUGCGGUUGAAACUGGCGCCCUUGGGUGCACAAGAGGCAGGCGGAACUCGUGGUGUAGCGGUGAAAUGCAUAGAUAUCACGAAGAACUCCGAUUGCGAGGGCAGCUUGCUGGGGUGUUACCGACGCUCAUGCUCGAAGGCGCGGGUAUCAAACAGGAUUAGAUACCCUGGUAGUCCGCGCAGUAAACGAUGGAUGCCCGCGGUGCGGCCGUUUAAGGUUACGCCGCCAAGCGAAAGCGUUAAGCAUCCCACCUGGGGAGUACGCCGGCAACGGUGAAACUCAAAGGAAUUGACGGGGGCCCGCACAAGCGGAGGAACAUGUGGUUUAAUUCGAUGAUACGCGAGGAACCUUACCCGGGCUUGAAAGGCAGCGGACGGGAGGCAGAGACGCCUCUCUUUCUUCGGACCGCUUCCUAGGUGCUGCAUGGUUGUCGUCAGCUCGUGCCGUGAGGUGUCGGCUUAAGUGCCAUAACGAGCGCAACCCUUUCCGCCGGUUGCCAUCGGGUAAUGCCGGGCACUCCGUUGGUACUGCCGCCGCAAGGCGUGAGGAAGGUGGGGAUGACGUCAAAUCAGCACGGCCCUUACGUCCGGGGCCACACACGUGUUACAAUGGGGGGCACAGCGAGCUGGAUGCAGGCGACUGCAUUCGAAUCAAUAAAUCCCCUCCCAGUUCGGACUGGAGUCUGCAACCCGACUCCACGAAGCUGGAUUCGCUAGUAAUCGCGCAUCAGCCAUGGCGCGGUGAAUACGUUCCCGGGCCUUGUACACACCGCCCGUCAAGCCAUGAAAGCCGGGGGCGCC
rnacentral:rRNA from 1 species